AUGUUAGAAAGAAAUUCAGAGAAGGGGGAAAAGACGAGAGGGGAAAAUCAACGUUCUGACAGCGACUUGAUCGGACCGAUGGGCACGCGUGGCACACCUUCUUUCCACACCUCCCGGCUGAAGCUGCUGCAGAAUCCUCAAACCAAUCAACCACCAUCCAUCACCGGAGAGCAGAGCAAGGAAAUCUGUGGACGAUCUGCCCGUCCACCAAAUCCCUUCAGCGCGCCGCCUCCCUCGCCCGCAACUCGCGAGGACUCUGCGGAUCUCACUCAGCGGCAGCAGCAAAAAGAGCGGAGAGAGCAGCCCGCCAUGGCCAUGGUCGCCUCCACCUCCAUCGCCUACCACAAGCCGCGUUUGUCGGUGGUGUGCAGGAAGAAGGACCGGGACAGGGAGCUGGAGCGGGAGAAGGAGCACAAGCACCCCUUCAAGGUCGUCGAGAUCACGCCGCCGCCGCGAUGCCUCGGCGUCCGCUGCUUCCCCACGAACAUCCACUGCGGAGAGAGCGUGACGAUCGAAGGGCAGGCGUACACGGUGUCGGCGGUGACGCACCGGUACCAGCUGCGCAAGGGGCGGUACGAGCCGAGCGAGAAGCGCCUCGACGUUCUCUCCACCGGCAGAUACAUCCUCAACCUCUACCUCGACAGCCUCCUCGACAAGUCCUAG
rnacentral:rRNA from 1 species